UGGAGGCGUAAGCAGUUAAGUUUUAUUGUGCUGGCUGGCGAUUGCUUUCUUUAAAGUCCAUAAACAAGCAGUGUUUUGACAGAUUUGGCUCAUUGAAUGUUUUAGAUUUUGUUUCGCCCAGUUAGUUUUAUUCUACAAAAUCAAAGAUUCUCAAGCAGACAACACUUAUUAAACUGAUUAGAUCUAAAAGUGCUGUGCUCCAUUGACAAAACAAGCAAGUAAGCAAGGUUUUUGGAAAAAUUUUACUCAUUGCAUCCUAUAGUAUUUGUCUUUCAUAGUUCCGAUCUACAAAAGCAAAGAUGCCAAAAAUGAGUAAGAAGUCUGCUAAAACAACAAGACUCCAGAAUAAAGAAAAAUAUAUGUCCAACAAGAUGGUAAAUAAAGACAGUGGUGACAAAAAGGAAAACUUAGAAAUUCCUGGUAAGCCUAUAAAUUUGCAACAAAAGUUGCCCAAAGAUAUGGUUCCAGAGGAUAGUACCAGUAAGAAAGGCUGCCAAAAGAUGGUUUUAUUAACAACUUUAAUGCUGAAAUGUUCUCCAUGAUGAAGAGCAACAUGGACAUUCAAUUAGUUUUUGAGCCAUAUGGUUGUUGCACCUACAUAGUCAACUAUAUCAAUAAGUCCCAAAGAGGUGUGUCUGAUAUUUUAAUGAAGACUAUGGAAGAACUUA